rnacentral:rRNA from 1 species
UAGGUAAUCUACCUUUGAGUGGGGAAUAACUUAGGGAAACUUAAGCUAAUACCGCAUAAUGCAGCGGCAUCGCAAGAUGACAGUUGUUAAAGGAGCAAUCCGCUUAAAGAGGAGCCUGCGGCAGAUUAGGUAGUUGGUAAGGUAAUGGCUUACCAAGCCUGCGAUCUGUAGCCGACCUGAGAGGGUGGUCGGUCACACUGACACUGAAUAACGGGUCAG